AGCAGCCAUGCAGCACCGGUUUCAUCUGAUCACCGCAGUUAAGCAGCGGCCGGGCGCGGUCAGUACUUGGGGAGGUGACCACCUGGGAACACCGCGUGCUGUU